rnacentral:rRNA from 1 species
GAUUUCUGGCUUGAAACAUUUUGCCGGCCACGGUUUCGUGUGUUAGUGCUUGAUGUUCUGGCCAUCCUUCCAAUCGCUGUUCACCUUUCUUCAUUGAUUGGUGAGCGGUAUUGGAUCUUUUACUUUGAAAAAAUUAGAGUGUUUCAAGCAGGCUUUAUGCUAUGAAUACAUUAGCAUGGAAUAAUAAUUUAGGACUUCGGUUCUAUUUUGUUGGUUUCUAGGACUGAAGUAAUGAUUGAUAGGGAUAGUUGGGGGUGCUCGAAUUCAGCGGCCAGAGGUGAAAUUCUUGGAUUCGCUGAAGACGAACUCAUGCGAAAGCAUU